rnacentral:rRNA from 1 species
GACGAACGCUGGCGGCGUGCUUAACACAUGCAAGUCGAACGGAAAGGCCCUGCUUUUGUGGGGUGCUCGAGUGGAGAACGGGUGAGUAACACGGGAGUAACCUGCCCUUGACUUUGGGAUAACUUCAGGAAACUGGGGCUAAUACCGGAUAGGAGCUCCUGCUGCAUGGGGGGGGUUGGAAAGUUUCGGCGGUUGGGGAUGGACUCGCGGUCUAUCAGCUUGUGGGUGGGGGAGGGGCUUACCAAGGCUUUGACGGGUAGCCGGCCUGAGGGGGUGACCGGCCACAUUGGGUGUGAGAUACGGCCCAGACUCCUACGGGAGGCAGCGGUGGGGAAUAUUACACAGUGGGCGGAAGCCUGCCGCAGCAGCGCCGCGUGCGGGAUGACGGCCUUCGGGUUGUAAACCGCUUUCGCCUGUGACGAAUCGUUGGUAACGGUACUGGGUAAGGAAGCACCGGCUAACUACGU